AACGAACGCUGGCGGCAGGCUUAACACAUGCAAGUCGAACGCCCCGCAAGGGGAGUGGCAGACGGGUGAGUAACGCGUGGGAAUCUACCCAGUUCUACGGAACAACUGAGGGAAACUUCAGCUAAUACCGUAUACGCCCUACGGGGGAAAGAUUUAUCGGAAUUGGAUGAGCCCGCGUUGGAUUAGCUAGUUGGUGAGGUAACGGCUCACCAAGGCGACGAUCCAUAGCUGGUCUGAGAGGAUGAUCAGCCACACUGGGACUGAGACACGGCCCAGACUCCUACGGGAGGCAGCAGUGGGGAAUAUUGGACAAUGGGCGAAAGCCUGGUCCAGCCAUGCCGCGUGAGUGAUGAAGGCCUUAGGGUUGUAAAGCUCUUUCAGUGGGGAAGAUAAUGACGGUACCCACAGAAGAAGCCCCGGCUAACUUCGUGCCAGCCGCCGCGGUAAGAC
rnacentral:rRNA from 1 species